rnacentral:rRNA from 1 species
AGAGUUUGAUCACUGGCUCAGGACGAACGCUGGCGGCGUGCCUAACACAUGCAAGUCGAACGAGAAUCAACUUAUGAAGUUUUCGGAUGGAAUGAGUUGAGGAAAGUGGCGAACGGGUGAGUAACGCGUGAGCAAUCUACCUUGUACUGGGGGAUAACGUCGGGAAACCGGCGCUAAUACCGCAUAAUACUAUAAGUACGCAUGUACUGAUAGUCAAAACUCCGGUGGUACAAGAUGAGCUCGCGUCCAAUUAGCUGGUUGGUGGGGUAAUGGCUCACCAAGGCGACGAUUGGUAGCCGAACUGAGAGGGUGACCGGCCACACUGGGACUGAGACACGGCCCAGACUCCUACGGGAGGCAGCAGUGGGGAAUAUUGCGCAAUGGGGGGAACCCUGACGCAGCGACGCCGCGUGAGCGACGAAGGCCUUCGGGUCGUAAAGCUCCGUUCUUGGGGACGAAGGAAAUGACGGUACCCAAGGAGAAAGCCCCGGCUAACUACGUGCCAGCAGCCGCGGUAAUACGUAGGGGGCGAGCGUUGUCCGGAAUUACUGGGCGUAAAGGGCGUGUAGGCGGCCGCGCAAGUCAAGUGUGAAACGCCACGGCUUAACCGAGGCAUUGCACAUGAAACUGCGUGGCUUGAGUGCAGGAGAGGGAAGUGGAAUUCCUAGUGUAGCGGUGAAAUGCGUAGAUAUUAGGAGGAACACCAGUGGCGAAGGCGACUUUCUGGACUGUAACUGACGCUGAGGCGCGAAAGCGUGGGUAGCAAACAGGAUUAGAUACCCUGGUAGUCCACGCUGUAAACGAUGGGUACUAGGUGUGGGUAGUUCACUCUAUCCGUGCCGCAGCAAACGCAAUAAGUACCCCGCCUGGGGAGUACGGCCGCAAGGUUGAAACUCAAAUGAAUUGACGG